CUUUAAAGCUCGCCGGCAGUUCAGACACAAUGCAAACACUCAAUGUGGAGCUGCGAGAGGAGGGAGCGCGCCUGCGCCAAGCACAGCUGCACAGCACGGCGAAGCCGCGGCUUCGUUACGUACUGAGCUACAAUACGACUGCCGAAAGCUAAAGAAAAGAGAAGCAAAUGGAUCGCUGCAAUUCGCAGAAACAACUGGAAUCCAGGCAAAAAAAUUUGCGGUUGUCAUUUUGUGUCAGAUACUGUGCAAUUUGUCAUCUUGAGGACUGCAGAAAUCUUCCCUCGUGGACAGACUGACUCACAGAAAAUACCUCCUGUCUGUGUGCUGUAUUCUGCUCAGGUGGAGAGAGAGGUACCAUCUCGUCAGCAUCCUGUGUCGUGUACAAAAAGAAACAACAGUGAAAUUAUACGUGAAAUACAUCAAUUACAUGUGAUAACUGUUGGAAAGUUGGAAAGCUACACAAGAACUUUAUAGAAGAGUUGAAAUGCUGAAAGAGAUGCACGCAUGUACACUUUGAUUCGAGUCAGUGUCACAGGAUUUGUUUUCAUGUGAAUCCAUAAAUCAAUUGAAAUUUGAUAUCUGUCUGUACCCCACUCUGCUGCCACACUGUCUGAAUAAAGUGACAAAAGAGGGUGAA